rnacentral:rRNA from 1 species
GCAGUCGAGGGGCAGCACGAGUAGCAAUACUUGGUGGCGACCGGCGCACGGGUGCGUAACACGUAUACAAUCUACCUUUAACAGGGGGAUAGCCCGGAGAAAUCCGGAUUAAUACCCCAUAACAGUUUGAGAGGCAUCUCUUGGACUUAAAAGCUACGGCGGUUAGAGAUGAGUAUGCGUCUGAUUAGCUAGUUGGUGAGGUAACGGCUCACCAAGGCGACGAUCAGUAGGGGAUCUGAGAGGAUUAACCCCCACACGGAUACUGAGACACGGAUCCGACUCCUACGGGAGGCAGCAGUAAGGAAUAUUGGACAAUGCCCGCAAGGGUGAUCCAGCCAUGCCGCGUGCAGGAAGACGGCCCUAUGGGUUGUAAACUGCUUUUACACCGGAGAAAACCUCCCCUCGUGAGGGGAGCUGAUAGUAUGGUGAGAAUAAGCGUCGGCUAACUUCGUGCCAGCAGCCGCGGUAAGACGAAGGAUGCAAGCGUUAUCCGGAUUCAUUGGGUUUAAAGGGAGCGUAGGUGGCCUUAUAAGUCAGUGGUGAAAUCUCUGGGCUUAACCCAGAAAUUGCCAUUGAUACUGUAGGGCUUGAGUACAGUUGCUGUGGGCGGAAUAUGACAUGUAGUGGUGAAAUACAUAGAGAUGUCAUAGAACACCGAUUGCGAAGGCAGCUCACAAAACUGUAACUGACACUGAGGCUCGAAAGUGCGGGGAUCAAACAGGAUUAGAUACCCUGGUAGUCCGCACUGUAAACGAUGAUUACUCGCUGCUGGGAGGUAACUUUCAGUGGCUUAGCGAAAGCGAUAAGUAAUCCACC